rnacentral:rRNA from 1 species
AGUGAACGCUGGCGGUAGGCCUAACACAUGCAAGUCGAACGGCAGCACAGUAAGAGCUUGCUCUUACGGGUGGCGAGUGGCGGACGGGUGAGGAAUACAUCGGAAUCUACUUUUUCGUGGGGGAUAACGUAGGGAAACUUACGCUAAUACCGCAUACGACCUACGGGUGAAAGCAGGGGAUCUUCGGACCUUGCGCGAGUGAAUGAGCCGAUGUCGGAUUGGCUAGUUGGCGGGGUAAAGGCCCACCAAGGCGACGAUCCGUAGCUGGUCUGAGAGGAUGAUCAGCCACACUGGAACUGAGACACGGUCCAGACUCCUACGGGAGGCAGCAGUGGGGAAUAUUGGACAAUGGGCGCAAGCCUGAUCCAGCCAUACCGCGUGGGUGAAGAAGGCCUUCGGGUUGUAAAGCCCUUUUGUUGGGAAAGAAAAGCAGCAGGUUAAUACCCCGCUGUUCUGACGGUACCCAAAGAAUAAGCACCGGCUAACUUCGUG